rnacentral:rRNA from 1 species
UACAGAGGUCCCAAGCGUUGUUCGGAUUCACUGGGCGUAAAGGGUGCGUAGGUGGCCAGGUAAGUUUGGUGUGAAAGCUCGGAGCUUAACUCCGAAAAGUCAUUGAAUACUAUCUGGCUGGAGGGUCGGAGGGGAGACUGGAAUUCUCGGUGUAGCAGUGAAAUGCGUAGAUAUCGAGAGGAACACCAGUGGCGAAGGCGAGUCUCUGGACGACUCCUGACACUGAGGCACGAAAGCUAGGGGGAGCAAACAGG